rnacentral:tRNA from 5 species
UGGGCUAUGGCCAAGCGGUAAGGCACUAGGUUUUGAUCCUAGUAUGCGCUGGUUCGAUCCCAGCUAGCCCAA